CAAUGGACCCUUUAGAUGCCCACAACGUAGGCAUUCAAUUGUCUUCAGUUGAUGGAUUUGGCGAACGUCUUUCUCAGGUAAUCAAUUGUUCGAACUCGAAAAUCUUGUUCACUAUACUGUUGAGUACCAUGUAUCAAACAUGCACUAUAAAUUAUGCAGAAAUGCAAAUUUACUUUAUCUGAUAUUUGUAUCAACCUCAUUUUUUCCAGUUCCCAGCAUUCGAUGGCCAUGAUUUGCAAAGCAUUGUUCAGAUGGGUUUUGGCCAGGAUCCUGUCAAAGAGAAUGCAUUUCAUUCAGGUAACUUUCAAGGUAAAGACAAGAAAGAUUUGGAAAAAAGUAUCAGCAGAAUAAAUAUUGUUUAGGAUUAUCAGAAAAUGUUUUUCCUGUGUUUUAAAACUUGUCACUCAUAAGUACUUGUUUUAUGCAGUUACAAAUCAAACAUCCCAAACGAAAGUUGAGCUGUGAUCACCACUCGUUUAUGCUCUACUGGUGCCCGAAAGGAGAAACAGGCUGCUGUAAAUACAAAAAGAACUUAGUACAAGAUGUUCAAUGAAAUGCUAAUUCGAGAAAAUUAUUUUUUCCGUCUUAGUUUCAUCCUUUGCAUUUUAUUUCGAUAUUGUAGUGAUGAAUUCAUGUUUCCAAUUUUUUAUGGUGUGCUUUUACAAUUAGCCACUGUAUAAUCCUAGAAGGAUAGGCCUAUUUCUGGUGCAAAGUCUUAACAGCGCCAUAUAUGUACUGAUCUUAUGUAAUGUAAGUUAUUCUUAGUGGAAAUGAGAACUGAUCUUUCCAUGGUCGUUCUUUGUUUAGCAGUCGACAUCGCACUUAUUGGCAUGUUUGAUGGUUUAAACUAAAC
rnacentral:lncRNA from 1 species